AAAUUCUGGAGUGGCCUUCGGGCCGCGACCUCCAUGAAACCCACCUCUGCGUACUCUGUCCUGUUGCUUCCGCGGGCCCUCGAGGCUCACGCCUCGGACGCCGGCGAGAGGCUUCCACCCACCUCGUAACGGGGAGGGGGUUACCUCUGGGCCGGCGGAGCGCUCGCGGGAGGUCAAUGAACGAAACCAUUCUGCAAUAGAUAGCUUCUGUCUGAAUGUACACUGAUAAUGAAAAAUGUUA
rnacentral:misc_RNA from 1 species